rnacentral:rRNA from 1 species
CCUACGGGGGGCAGCAGUGAGGAAUAUUGGUCAAUGGACGAGAGUCUGAACCAGCCAAGUAGCGUGAAGGAUGACUGCCCUAUGGGUUGUAAACUUCUUUUAUAAAGGAAUAAAACGAGGCACGUGUGCCUUUUUGCAUGUACUUUAUGAAUAAGGAUCGGCUAACUCCGUGCCAGCAGCCGCGGUAAUACGGAGGAUCCGAGCGUUAUCCGGAUUUAUUGGGUUUAAAGGGAGCGUUGAGUGGUUGUUAAGUCAGUUGUGAAAGUUUGCGGCUCAACCGUAAAAUUGCAAUUGAUACUGGCAGUCGUGAGUACAGUUGAGGUAGGCGGAAUUCGUGGUGUAGCGGUGAAAUGCUUAGAGAUCACGAAGAACCCCGAUUGCGAAGGCAGCUUACUAAACUGUGACUGACAUUGAUGCUCGAAAGUGUGGGUAUCAAACAGGAUUAGAUACCCGGGUAGUC